CUUCCCCGACCAAAAACAGGUACCGCACCGGCCAUCGCCCACCUCCCGCACGACCACAAAUCUUCCUCCACCUUCUUCCACCAACCCCAGCGCCGCCCACCAGUGCCGCCCGCCCCCAACCACCUCCUACCCCGCGUUCAGCGCCCCCACCUCCCACCCCGCGGUGGCGCCCCCAACCCCGGCCACCUCCCACCCCAUAGCGGCGCCCCCAACCCUGGACACCUCCCACCCCGCGGUGGCGCCCCCAACCCCGGCCACCUCCCACCCCGCAGCGGCGCCCCCAACCCCGGCCCCUAACCCCCUCUCACAGCCGGCGCGCACCUACCUACCUCCCAUGGCCGCCGCGCUCCAACCCCUUCCAACCACUGGCGCCAUGGUGGGAGCCGGUCGCCACCGAAUCCUGCGAGGCCUCCACCACCGGAUCCGGACGCCAUGGCCAUCGGUGCAGCCACAAGCCGACGGAUCCGGCUGCGACCCACCACCUCCUGCGCGUGGUGGCCGGAUGGGAAGGCCGACGAGCUCCAUGCCAUGCUGGGCUCCUCCAGUGCCACCACUUCCUUCUUCCCCUUCGGCCGUACCGCCUCCCGCUCUGCCUCCCCGCACUUUGUCGGCGAGCCGCCAAUCCUCCACGCGCGUUGCCGGUGCCCCGGCCUUUCUUCCCGCAACGCAUCCGACCUUUCUGCUCCCGCCUGCACGUCCUCCCCCCCCCCCCCCCCCCCCCCCCCCCCCCUCCACCCUCUCGCAGGCCACGGAUCCGUGGCCCUCAAUCCAUCCCCGGGGAGGAUCCAGGUGAGGUCGAGGGGCACCGUCGCAUCUCCUUUCCCUUCCCCCGGCGUCGUCGACCGUCCCCUCGCCUCGAUCUGCAACGACGCCGAUGACCGACAGUAGGGUGCGCCGCCCUUCCUCUCCCCUCGAAUUUUUGGGGCGCCGACGACACAACGCGGUAUCCGGUGGUCGGGCUCGGGGGUGGAGGCCGCCGCUGAUCCCCUGUUGGAUCUCUUUCCACCAAGACCCGGCGACCUCCCCUUCGAUCUGGUCUCCCGUCGACAACGCCUCCCCCACUCUUCUCCAUGGACGGCUGCGCACAGUCACCAACUCUAGCGCGCGGUUUCACCAGAAGGAGCCCGGGAGCGCCUCUCUCUCACCACCGUGUGUAUAGUUCGGCUGGCGACGGCAUGAGGUUCACUAGCUCCUUGCAGUUUUUUUAAUAGGAAAAGGUGGUAGCUCCUGCUUGCAGUUCGCCAUGGUAGAUGGGUUGAUGUAGCCCACUUGAUGGAGUCUUGUGGUUCACUGCAUUCAACAAGGAAAAAGCAAAAGAGUGUAGUCUUGUGAUGCAGCCCAUUUGUUUCAUUUUUGUGUGUAUUUUGAAGAUGGGGUGCAGGAAGAUCGGUGAUUUUUGUGUGUAUUUUGCUCACGGUUGACAUUUUUUCCACUUUUCAGAUUUUGGCUGCCAUCCCAUGGGCGCACAGGUGCAAUGCUGUGGGGACUGGACAUGCAGUGCGCUGGCACCGGCUUGCAUUUCAUAGACAGAAAUGUGGAUUUAUUUUUGAAGUCCCUCAUCACUGUAAUUUGUGUGUGUUUGUAUUGUGGAUUAAAAAGAGGAACAUUGUAGUUCGUGCGCCCUGUCUCGUAGUCCAGAGAAGUAUAGAUUGCAACUCUAUUGAAAAUGUGCAUUGAAGACAACAACACAUUUUUUAAGUGCAGCUCACUUGUUUCAUUGCCGCAGUGAUCUUCUCUCUCCCAGUGGUUCACUAUGUUGCCAAGUGCAAAAACAAAUUGGGAGAAAGUAAAUUAGAAAAGAUUGUUUUUUUA